GAUGAACGCUGGCGGCGUGCCUAAUACAUGCAAGUCGAGCGAACAGACGAGGAGCUUGCUCCUCUGACGUUAGCGGCGGACGGGUGAGUAACACGUGGAUAACCUACCUAUAAGACUGGGAUAACUUCGGGAAACCGGAGCUAAUACCGGAUAAUAUAUUGAACCGCAUGGUUCAAUAGUGAAAGUCGGUUUUGCUGUCACUUAUAGCUGGAUCCGCGCCGCAUUAGCUAGUUGGUAAGGUAACGGCUUACCAAGGCAACGAUGCGUAGCCGACCGGAGAGGGUGAUCGGCCACACUGGAACUGAGACACGGUCCAGACUCCUACGGGAGGCAGCAGUAGGGAAUCUUCCGCAAUGGGCGAAAGCCUGACGGAGCAACGCCGCGUGAGUGAUGAAGGUCUUCGGAUCGUAAAACUCUGUUAUUAGGGAAGAACAAAUGUGUAAGUAACUAUGCACGUCUUGACGGUACCUAAUCAGAAAGCCACGGCUAACUACGUG
rnacentral:rRNA from 1 species